UACGUAGGUGGCAAGCGUUGUUCGGAAUUAUUGGGCGUAAAGGGCGCGCAGGCGGUUCUGUUUGUCGAGUGUGAAAGCCCCGGGCUCAACCUGGGAACUGCGCUCGAAACGGCGGAACUAGAGUUCGGGAGAGGAGAGUGGAAUUCCCAGUGUAGAGGUGAAAUUCGUAGAUAUUGGGAAGAACACCGGUGGCGAAGGCGGCUCUCUGGGCAGUAACUGACGCUGAGGAGCGAAAGCGUGGGGAGCGAACAGG
rnacentral:rRNA from 1 species